GCCAGGUGUGGUGGUGUACACCUGUAGUCCCAGUUGCUCGGGAGGCUGAGGCAGGAGGAUCACUUGAGCCCAGGAGGUUGAGGCUGCAGUGAGCCCUGAUUGCACCACUGCAUUCCAGCCUGGGUGACAGAGUGAGACCCUGUCUUAA
rnacentral:SRP_RNA from 1 species